rnacentral:lncRNA from 1 species
CACCCAUCUAGGGCUGGUUCUAUGGGGCUGGGAUGACCAUUAUGGGGUAUUGGGGUCCCACCCAUCUAGGGCUGAGGCUCAUAUGGGUUGUUAUGCUGACCCAUAGGGCUGGCUCUAUGGGGCUGGAAUGACCCAUAGGUCUGGCUCUAUGGGGUUAUGCUGACCCAUAGGGCUGGCUCUAUGGGGUUAUGCUGACCCAUAGGGCUGGCUCUAUGGGGCUGGGAUGACCAAUAAGUCCCAUACAUAUGGGGCUGGCUCUAUGGGGCUGGGAUGACCAAUAAGUCCCAUACAUAUGGGGUUGGCUCUAUGGGGCUGGAAUGACCCAUAGGUCUGGCUCUAUGGGGCUGGGAUGACAUAUGGGGCUGGCUCUAUGGGGUUAUGGUGACCCACAGGGCUGGCUCUAUGGGGUUAUGCUGACCCAUAGCACUAUCCUGGCCCCACACGUAUAGGUCUGGCUCUAUGGGGCUGGGAUGACCCAUAGGGCUGGCUCUAUGGGGUUGGGGUGACCCAUAGGGCUGGCUCUAUGGGGCUGGGAUGACCCAUAGGGCUGGCUCUAUGGGGUUAUGCUGACCCAUAGCACUAUCCUGGCCCCACACAUAUAGGGCUGUCUCUAUGGGGCUGGAAUGACCCAUAGGUCUGGCUCUAUGGGGCUGGGAUGACAUAUGGGGCUGGCUCUAUGGGGUUAUGCUGACCCAUAGCUCUAUCCUGGCCCCACACAUAUAGGGCUGGCUCUAUGGGGUUAUGCUGACCCAUAGGGCUGGCUCUAUGGGGUUAUGCUGACCCAUAGGGCUGGCUCUAUGGGGUUAUGCUGACCCAUAGGGCUGGCUUUAUGGGGUUAUGCUGACCCAUAGCACUAUCCUGGCCCCACACAUAUAGGGCUGGCUCUAUGGGGUUAUGCUGACCCAUAGGGCUGGCUCUAUGGGGCUGGGAUGACCCACAGGGCUGGCUCUAUGGGGUUAUGCUGACCCAUAGCACUAUCCUGGCCCCACACAUAUAGGGCUGGCUCUAUGGGGUUAUGCUGACCCAUAGCUCUAUGGGGUUAUGGUGACCCAUAGCUCUAUGGGGUUAUGCUGACCCAUAGGGCUGGCUCUAUGGGGUUAUGCUGACCCAUAGCACUAUCCUGGCCCCACA